UGAAAUAUUCGUCCGGUCGGUUCGAGGUGAAGCCGCAGUCCUCACACACGAAGAUCUUGGAGCGUCGCUGACGGUACGCGUACUGCUGCCGCACGCCGUGGAUCUUACGCAGGUCAAAGGUGUCGUUGAAGCCUUUACCGCAGUACCUGCACGGGUGUCGUUUAAUCAUACUGUGACACUUCAGGUGACGGGUUAGCAUGCGCUGCAAAGGAAACACUUUAUGACACACAGAACACAGAAACUCUGAAGAUCCACCCGAUUCACGCACCUGCGGUCAUAAUAAAACACACAGUACAUGAGCGAGAGAAACAUGAAAUAAAUCCAGUGUGACGUGUCAGUCGUGUCAUGUGAUGGUUUACUUUGUUCUGAGGAGGCGAUGUUAAUGGAGGCGACAGACGAGAGCUUUGAUGCAGCGGCUGAGCGUGAACUCUCUCCAUCCCAUAAUCAACCGAACGAGAGGCCCGCACUGACUCCAGAGCAGCAGAUGUGUGUUUGUGGAUGGGCUGAGGGACGUCAGGCUCGGACUCCAGACCAGCGUCACAGUGUGUCUGCACAUCUUCUGCAACAAUCAGAGAAAAAUCUCAGCAAAUUCCCAUCUGUGUUCACAUCGUUCUCUCUCAGAAAAAAGUUCAGAGGUUUGACGCAGAUGAGUUUAAACAACUCUGAGAUGAUCUUGAGAUCUCCUGAAACUCCAGAGGCGACGCGUGAUGAAAAAUUUCACUCCAGGAGAAUCAAUUGAGCUUAGAAAAGAGUUUAGAAUUCCUGCGAGCUUACUUUGUUUAAAAAUAAAUGAAUUACAAAUGUUGUAUGACUUUAAUAAGCUGAAUAAUGUGAGUAUUAGAUGCAGCAAUAAUCAGACAUUAUGUGACUCUAAGAGAACGAUGCCUGAAACAGGCGUGCAGAUGCACCAACUAGAAAGUGUUUGUAAAUGUGAAAUGUUGACGGUGUGUUACCUGUGUUUGGAGUCGUGCAGGUGUCAGAUUCUCUCCACUGCCACCCGGCACACGCCGCCUGUUUUCUCUUCACCAGAAACGAGCGAGGCAUCUUCAAGAUCUGGAUCAACGGCGUCCCGCUGAAAGUGAAAAUCUCCUCACACUGACCGGUACUGCUUAAUGUCUAGAGAGUAAAUCUCAGAGCUCAUUUCCAUAUCUCUAGAGAGAGAGAGAAAGAGAGAGAGAGUGUGUGUGUUAGCGUAUGCUUUAACUGCAGCUCCGCUGGUUUGCAUGCCAGGUAGAGAGAAUCUGGUCUCCUCAUUUAACUGGACCUGCCAUGCAAAUGCUCUUGUGCCGGUGCCGGCUGAAGGGCACGGCCGCUCUAACAGGAGCACGCACAGCCUGAACUGCUAGUAAAAUUUUGCUUUUAUUUCACGUUCCAGCUGAUUGUCUGUCGGGUUUAAGUCACCUAAACUGGGACAAAGGCAAUUCAAAUGGCUUCUUUUACUGUUUACUAUCGGUUAACAUCGCAGCUCGGGAAGGUGAAUAGAUUUCUGUAGACCUAACAGAUGUUCUUUUCUUUUGUCCCGACACUCAAAGCUUUCCAUCAGUUAUGCAUCUCUUUGACUGGGUUGUAAACAUAUCGCCGCACUUUAACGAAGCGCAGGGCAGUUUUGGACAUUAACACACCUGAGGUCGAGUCUCUCACAUCAUCAUGUUUGAGAGCGUUUAUUACUGUCGCACACGAUAAGUGCUUUUGUCUGGAGCUGAUGUCGUUUUCUGGCUGGAACACACUUCAAGACUUUUAAAAUCUGAACAGACAUCACACACUUGCAGAGUUUUGGAAAGUUUCAGAUAGAAGCACAUGAACUGAUCAAAUCUGCAGACUGGCACAAACUUUCUGCAACAAGUCCAAUCUGAGCAAAAGUCUUGUAGUGUAUUUUAGGCUUGAGAUAUUCUAAAUACGAUUGAUUCUGUCAUGAACCAAGAAGGCGGUGAGGAUGAAGAAGUCACCUGUUUCCACUGACAUUUGUUAUUGAUUGGUUGUUUUUUCCAGUGAUGUAGGAGACAGACGUUAUGAUGGGGCCGUACAGUAGAGUACUGUCAUCCGCAGACUCGCUCUAACUGUAUGCAAAUACUGUCCGUGUGCAGCCAGAGAACAUUUUAUCAUAUAUGGAAACCUUGUGCGCUAAUGAAUCUCUUCAGAGUAGCUGGCAGAUGAACGCGCGGAGCUUCUGAGGGGCGACAGUGGAUUACCGUUUAUGUGAAAGCAAAUGUUGUGAGAUCCUCAACUUUCACAUGGAGCCCUCGCUUUAAACAUGUCAAACAGUCGACGCGCUGGCUACACACUGCUUUGCAUGUUUCUUUGAACAGUGGCGUGUUUAAACACGAAGAAGGGCACAGACUUUGACUGUUAAAUGUCUCUGUUUGUAAUGUGAACCACACCCGCUGGACAGAAAAGAGCCGUCCGUCCGUCCAGAAAUAUUUCAUGUGUCUGUGACAUGAGUGAGAACUAGCGUUUUAACAACACACCUCUUGACAUUGAGAUAUGACUUCACGUUAACUUCACCUACAUAUGACAGUAGACACAAUUCAUCCAAUGAAACAUCUGAUGACAUUAAACAACAUGAAGGUAGAAACAAAAUAGCACAUAGAGAAAUCACCAAUGGCAUGAGCUGAGAGAGUUCAGUGAGAAAACAACAGUAAACACUUCUGUGCGAUUGUUGCGUCAAAAACAACAAUGUGAACAAAAGUCAAGUUUAUCAAGGUCUUGAGGCAACAUUAAUCCAGUGUGUGCAAGCUGUCUGUACGAUAUUUAAACCACUCACAAGGUCUAAAUGUACUUUUGUGUCUUUAUUCAUGUUGUUUAGAACUUUUAUAAGAUAUACACAUUUCUACUUCAUAUACAUGAAGUCAUUGAGAAACUUUUGACAAGUAACGAAUGAAAGAUGAUGAAAAGACAUUGAAUUACAUAUUCUUACUUGUAAGCGUGCCUUUGUUCCCAACACUUAUUGUUUAGAUAAAUGCCUCCGCCCCCCCACACUGUAUUCAACCACAUCCAACGGCCCCCCUCCCGCUUCUACCCAAUAAAUCAUUUCAGAGCUUGACA